rnacentral:rRNA from 3 species
AGACGCCCGGUCCCAUUCCGAACCCGGAAGCUAAGGCCUGGCACGGCGAUGGUACUGCACCCGACAGGGUGUGGGAGAGUAGCACGCCGCCGCAC